rnacentral:lncRNA from 1 species
GAGUCGACGAAGGGAGCGCGGGCGCGCGCCCGCGUCCGCGCACUGAGAGUCGCCUCGGCCGCUCGCUUUCUCGACUCCCGCCUCGCGCCUCGAUCCUGUUCCGCCUCCCUCGGCCCUCCUGCCCGCCCCCACUCGUCGGCCCUCAGGUUCCUGGAAAGUGAAAAUUUCAUUUCUUUGUGGACAGCUCAGAGACCUAAUAGGAUGGGGUCUUAGAGAAACAUCUUUUGAGCCACAGACUUCUUUGUUACCAGAAGGAAAAUGAAAGAAGAAAUUUAAAUACCACUUGAAGAGAGGUGCUGCCCAGUUCAUGAGUGCUGCUGCUGUCCUGCCCAAGUACCCAGCUUGCAGAGUGCCAGAGUUAGAGUCCCAGGGGUGUUCUCCACAGCUGCAUGCUUGAUCCAGGCCUAUCAGGUGUUAUUUGUUGACGGAACCAGGCAUCAUCAGCAAACAAAACUGACAAAGCUUCCUGCCCUCUGUGGAAGGCAUCUGAGGAAGAGACUGGAUUUUGUAGCAACAUGUUAUUCUCAUUAUAAACUUUAUCAUUGGAAUACUAAAGCCAAAUCAUCCCCCAUCUCCUUGAUCAGGAUACCCACUUAAUCUAGGCAGCUACACAAUUGUGAGAGCCUUUGUUUUUUUCUGCUGAAACAUCCUUAAAAAGAUACCUCACAACCCAAGAUUUGGCUUUUCUUAAAUACGAUUUUUAAUUUUUUUCAUUUCUAUCUAGAGAUUUAAUUGGAAAUGGAAAAUCAUCAAUUUUCCAAUUAAAUGUCUGUUCCAAUCAACAUUAUACCUUUUAGGUUGUCAUUGUCAUUUUUAAGUUUAAGCAACUUUAAGGAUUUUGAAUCUGGCUGCCUGUAAAUUAAAGGUGAAAGUAAUCAUUGUGUUGGAUUGGAACAUUUUGUCAAUUGAGAGUGGUUUCCUUGUUCUUAGUGUAUGAAAAGUUUAUUUUUCUAAUGUAGAUUAAUAAAGGAGAUAAAGAAAAACAAAA